rnacentral:rRNA from 1 species
UAGGGAAUCUUCCACAAUGGGCGCAAGCCUGAUGGAGCAACACCGCGUGAGUGAAGAAGGGUUUCGGCUCGUAAAGCUCUGUUGUUAAAGAAGAACACGUAUGAGAGUAACUGUUCAUACGUUGACGGUAUUUAACCAGAAAGUCACGGCUAACUACGUGCCAGCAGCCGCGGUAAUACGUAGGUGGCAAGCGUUAUCCGGAUUUAUUGGGCGUAAAGAGAGUGCAGGCGGUUUUCUAAGUCUGAUGUGAAAGCCUUCGGCUUAACCGGAGAAGUGCAUCGGAAACUGGAUAACUUGAGUGCAGAAGAGGGUAGUGGAACUCCAUGUGUAGCGGUGGAAUGCGUAGAUAUAUGGAAGAACACCAGUGGCGAAGGCGGCUACCUGGUCUGCAACUGACGCUGAGACUCGAAAGCAUGGGUAGCGAACAGGAUUAGAUACCCUGGUAGUCCAUGCCGUAAACGAUGAGUGCUAGGUGUUGGAGGGUUUCCGCCCUUCAGUGCCGGAGCUAACGCAUUAAACACUCCGCCUGGGGAGUACGACCGCAGAGGUUG